UCAUUGGGGAUUCAGUGGUAGAAUUUUCACCUUCCAUGUGGGAGACCCUUGUUCAAUUCCUGGCCAAUGGG
rnacentral:tRNA from 1 species